ensembl:rRNA 5S_rRNA 5S ribosomal RNA
UCUUGUGGCACCACCACCUUGAGCAGGCCCGAUCUUGUCUGAUUUCAGAAGCUAAGCAGGGUCGGGCCUGGUUAGUACUUGGAUGGGAGACCGCCUAGGAAUACCAGGUGCUGUAAGCU